rnacentral:misc_RNA from 1 species
AAGCUCUGGUGGGUAGAUACUGGUGCCACCUCUGCGAUCAGGUGGUGAAUCCCGUCAUGGAGAUGGAGAUCAAGUGCCCCUUCUGCGACAGCGGCUUCGUGGAGGAGAUGGACGACAGGGAGGGCAUGGAGGACGCCGAUCUGGGAUCUGACCGGUCGCUGUCACUUUGGGCUCCUAUUCUGCUUGGGAUGUUGGGCGGCGAUCGCCCGCGCCGCCACCGGUCCCGAAGGGAGGACAUGGACGGUGACAAUGACUCCGACGACGACCGGGAGCUG